AUUGAACGCUGGCGGCAGGCUUAACACAUGCAAGUCGAGCGAGCGGCGGACGGGUGAGAAAUGUCUGGGAAACUGCCUGAUGGAGGGGGAUAACUACUGGAAACGGUAGCUAAUACCGCAUACCAUCAGAUGUGCCCAGAUGGGAUUAGCUAGUAGGUGGGGUAAUGGCUCACCUAGGAGACGAUCCCUAGCUGGUCUGAGAGGAUGACCAGCCACCUUGGACGUGGGACACGAUCAAUGCUCCUACGGGAGGCGGCAGUGGGGAAUAUGGCACAAUGGGCGCAAGCCUGAUGCAGCCAUGCCGCGUGUGUGAAGAAGGCCUUCGGGUUGUAAAGCACUUUCAGCGAGGAGGCGUUACUCGCAGAAGAAGCACCGGCUAACUCCGUGCCAGCAGCCGCGGUAAUUC
rnacentral:rRNA from 1 species